GAAUGUGCCUUCGGGAACCGUGAGACAGGUGCUGCAUGGCUGUCGUCAGCUCGUGUUGUGAAAUGUUGGGUUAAGUCCCGCAACGAGCGCAACCCUUAUCCUUUGUUGCCAGCGGUCCGGCCGGGAACUCAAAGGAGACUGCCAGUGAUAAACUGGAGGAAGGUGGGGAUGACGUCAAGUCAUCAUGGCCCUUACGACCAGGGCUACACACGUGCUACAAUGGCGCAUACAAAGAGAAGCGACCUCGCGAGAGCAAGCGGACCUCAUAAAGUGCGUCGUAGUCCGGAUUGGAGUCUGCAACUCGACUCCAUGAAGUCGGAAUCGCUAGUAAUCGUGGAUCAGAAUGCCACGGUGAAUACGUUCCCGGGCCUUGUACACACCGCCCGUCACACCAUGGGAGUGGGUUGCAAAAGAAGUAGGUAGCUUAACCUUCGGGAGGGCGCUUACCACUUUGUGAUUCAUGACUGGGGUGAAGUCGUAACAAGGUAACCGUAGGGGAACCUGCGGUUGGAUCACCUCCUUACCUUAAAGAAGC
rnacentral:rRNA from 3 species